AUCCGUCUCACUUGACGCAUGUCCAUUGUGCGUGUGCUAACUUUCUCUCAUGCCGCACAGAUAGACUACUACUGUAUUUUUAGCAUUUUUCUUUCACGUCAUAUUUGGUGUCAAAUGCUGAUACUAUGUGGGAAUGAUAAAGCGCUUGUCUUCAUGAGGCUCACCUGGACUGGUCACCAGCCAAUCACAGGACGCCAAGGCCCGCAGGAAACAUAUCUCAUCCACCAUAAGUGAGUAUUAUUUAUAAAUAGUUGAUAAUACAGGUCAAAUGUACCAUUGUUUAAAAAAGACCACAAUUUUCACACAUUUAUGUCUUUAUGCUUCACUGAUUAAGUUUUGUCCUCAAGCUUCUGUUGUGCAGUCCUUGAACUCACCAUAGUUGCUGUAAGUAGCAAAAGUGAUACUCAUACACUCACCCUUCGAUGAUGGCGGUUAAUUGGUUCCGGACCUGAGAGUGAUACGAUAUUUUUAUCAUCUUCUACAUACGGUUUUUGACAUUAUUAGACCCCUUUGCACAUAAAAUAACACCUCUAUAGUCACCUUUACCCUCGUAUAACCCAAUAUAGUAGACUUCAUCAGAGAAAAUAAGCCACUUAAGACAUAAAUAAGACCCGUGCUUGUGUGUGUUGCAAUAAAUGUCUUACAGACAUGUGGACACAAAGUGACCUCGGGUGUCCUGAGUUGAGUUUUAGCUGGACUGUGUCCACAACGGCAGCCCGUGAUAUUACUUGGAUUAUUCGCCGGGAGAAGCGUUUGUGCAGAUUUCUCAUAAACAUUCAAGAUGGACGCUGAUGCGAACAAAGCGUUUCUUUGCUUCGCUUUCGAUCACACAAGCUGGAAGGAAGAUCCUGCGCUCCACUUUUAAAAACAGACUUCACCGCGAGCAUACGCUUAUCGCUUGUUAUGAUUUAAAACACUGUUUAUUGUUCUGGUGUUUUUGAUAGGGAAAAAAACAACUUAAAACAACUAUUACUGUAGAAUUUUAGCUAGUUAGCCAGCACAACGCAGAUCUAGGGUAUCCAAAGUGCGGCCUGAGGGCCAUUUGCGGCUGGCAGCCCAUUGUAGACAUAAAAUUAAACCAAAAAAAUGCAAAAAUGUGGAAAAUACAGCAAAAAGGCAUAGUGUAACGAGAGAAGGUUAACGCUAAUAACUAAUAAUAACACAAAGCUUUGUCUUUAAAUAUAUUUUUUAUACUUUUUUUUUGCCUGUUUACAAUAAAAAAAUACAUCUUUCAAAAUAUCUAAGUGACCUUCCACAAGCUGUUAUUUUUGUCUGAAUAAAGUUUGGACACCCCUGGUGUAGAAACAUUUGCCAUUUGUUGCUAGGCAAGGUUCACUGAGGCUCCAGGACAACUGGCCCGAAUGCUGCUUUCAAGUUUGCUGGGAAGAAAAAAACAACAAGUAGUCUUAGUCAUCAUGUUUAUAAUAUUCCCAUGUUAUUAUCAUAUUAUAAUGUAUAAUAUUAAAAAAAAAUGUAAUUGUAUUACACAAAA